rnacentral:misc_RNA from 1 species
GUGAAUCAUCAAAUUUUUGAACGCAAAUUGCACUCUCUGGCAUUCCGGAGAGUAUGCCUGUUUGAGGAUCAGUUUAAAUAAAAAUCUUGGUGUUGCUUUUUUUUAACUCAUCUUAAUUGGGUUAUCUUUGACCUUUUAAAAAGUUUAAGUGACCUAAAAUUGAUACCUUAUGCAUCUCAGACGUACAUAAGAAUAUUUUUUUAUCCUUCCGGAGUUUCCAACUUUUUAUUAGUUAUGACCAUGCUUUUUGUGUCGUCAUACCUAUUAUAUACUCAUAUUUCUACCUCAAAUCA